rnacentral:rRNA from 1 species
GAAACCAACAGGGAUUGCCUCAGUAACGGCGAGUGAAGCGGCAAAAGCUCAAAUUUGAAAUCUAGCACUUUCAGUGUUCGAGUUGUAAUUUGAAGAAGGUAACUUUGGUUUUGGCUCUUGUCUAUGUUCCUUGGAACAGGACGUCACAGAGGGUGAGAAUCCCGUGCGAUGAGAUGCCCAAUUCCAUGUAAAGUGCUUUCGAAGAGUCGAGUUGUUUGGGAAUGCAGCUCUAAGUGGGUGGUAAAUUCCAUCUAAAGCUAAAUAUUGGCGAGAGACCGAUAGCGAACAAGUACAGUGAUGGAAAGAUGAAAAGAACUUUGAAAAGAGAGUGAAAAAGUACGUGAAAUUGUUGAAAGGGAAGGGCUUGAGAUCAGACUUGGUAUUUUGCGUUCCCUUCCUUUUUGGUUGGGUUCCUCGCAGUUUACUGGGCCAGCAUCGGUUUGGAUGGUAGGAUAAUGACAUUGGAAUGUAGCUUUACUUCGGUGAAGUGUUAUAGACUUUGUUGAUACUGCCUAUCUAGACCGAGGACUGCGUCUUGACUAGG